AACAAGGUUUCCGUAGGUGAACCUGCGGAAGGAUCAUUAACGAAUAUCUAUGGCGUUGGUUGUAGCUGGCUCCUAGGAGCAUUGUGCACGCCCGUCAUUCAUAUCAUCUUUCCACCUGUGAACCAUGUGUAGGCCUGGAUACCCCUCGCCUUGGCAACAAAGCGGAUGCAAGGAUUGCUGCGUCGACAAGGCCGGCUCUCUUUGAAUUUCCAGGUUCUAUGUCUUUUACACACUCCAUUUGAAUGAUUUAGAAUGUAGUCAAUGGGCUUUCAUGCCUAUAAAAAACUAUACAACUUUCAGCAACGGAUCUCUUGGCUCUCGCAUCGAUGAAGAACGCAGCGAAAUGCGAUAAGUAAUGUGAAUUGCAGAAUUCAGUGAAUCAUCGAAUCUUUGAACGCACCUUGCGCUCCUUGGUAUUCCGAGGAGCAUGCCUGUUUGAGUGUCAUUAAAUUCUCAACCUCACCAGUUUUGUAACGAGACAGGUGAAGGCUUGGAUGUGGGGGUUUUGCAGGCUGCCUCAGUGCUGGUCUGCUCCCCUGAAAUGCAUUAGCGAGCUCAUAUUGAGCUUCCGUCUAUUGGUGUGAUAAUUAUCUACGCCGUGGAUUGGACUCAUGCUUGCUUCUAACCGUCCGCAAGGACAAUUUACUUGACCAAUUUGACCUCAAAUCAGGUAGGACUACCCCGCUGAACUUAAGC
rnacentral:rRNA from 1 species